AAAACAAACGGUUGAAUUGAUUGUUAUGAAGAAGAUCUCAGCUGAGGAAAGUUUUGCCCUCUAGGUUGCCCAGACGUGUGGCAAUACCAGAAGACAUCUUUGGUUGUCACAACUUGGAGACGGGCUGCGUGAAUCUGGCGAGAGAUGGACAUCAUGAUAAGAGCUCCAAUCAGGGCAAGUAUCAGGAAGCAGGAGUGCAGAAGACGAGAGAUGGAUGAUGCUAGAAGAAGUUGAGGAAAG